UACGUAGGGUGCGAGCGUUGUCCGGAAUUAUUGGGCGUAAAGGGCUCGUAGGCGGUUUGUCGCGUCGGGAGUGAAAUCACCGGGCUUAACUUGGUGUCUGCUUUCGAUACGGGCUGACUAGAGGCAUGCAGGGGAGAACGGAAUUCCUGGUGUAGCGGUGAAAUGCGCAGAUAUCAGGAGGAACACCGGUGGCGAAGGCGGUUCUCUGGGCAUGUCCUGACGCUGAGGAGCGAAAGUGUGGGGAGCGAACAGG
rnacentral:rRNA from 1 species